GUGAGCCUGGCUAGAGGUGUCCAGUGUGAUGUGCAGCUGGUGGAGUCUGGGGGAGGCGUGGUGCAGCCUGGGGGGUCUCUGAGACUCUCCUGUGCAGCCUCUGGAUUCACCUUCAGUAGCUAUGGCAUGAACUGGGUCCGCCAGGCUCCAGGGAAGGGGCUGGAGUGGGUCUCACGCAUUAGUAGUAGUAGUGGUAGUAGCACAUACUACGCCGACUCUGUGAAGGGCCGCUUCACCAUCUCCAGAGACAACGCCAAGAACACGCUGUACCUGCAAAUGAGCAGCCUGAGAGCCGAGGACACGGCCGUGUAUUACUGUGCAAGAGACACAGUGAGGGGAAGGAGCCUGGGGCAAUGUGACUACUUUGACUACUGGGGCCAGGGCACCAUGGUCACCGUCUCCUCAGCCUCCACCACGGCCCCGUCGGUCUUCCCGCUGUCCCCCAAAUGUGGCGCCACGUCGGGCUCCACGAUGUCCCUGGGCUGCCUGGUCUCUGGCUACUUCCCGGAGCCCGUGACUGUGUCCUGGAACUCGGGCGCCCUGACCAGCGGGGUGCACACCUUCCCGUCCGUCCUGCGUGCCGGCCUCUACUCCAUGAGCAGCAUGGUGACGGUGCCCACCACCUCGACCAGCCAGACCUUCACCUGCAACGUAGCCCACCCGGCCAGCGAAACCAAGGUGGACAAGAUCGUGCCCGUAACAGGUGGACCCACCCCACCCCCCUGCAAGUGCCCAGCUUGUGAGACCCUGGGAGGGCCCUCGGUCUUCAUCUUCCCCCCGAAACCCAAGGACACCCUCAUGAUUUCCCGGACGCCCGAGGUCACGUGCCUGGUGGUGGACGUGGCCCCGGAAGACCUGGACGUCGAGUUCACCUGGUUCACGGACGGCGUGCAGGGAAGAACGGAGAAGGUGACGGCGCAGCAGCAGCAGUUCAACAGCACCUACCGCGUGGUCAACUCCCUCGCCAUCGCGCACCAGGACUGGCUGAAUGGCAAGGAGUUCAAGUGCAAGGUCAACAACAAGGCCAUCCCGGCCCCCAUCGAGAGGACCAUCUCCAAGGCCAGAGGGCAAGCCCGGGAGCCGCAGGUGUACGUCCUGGGCCCACACGCGGACGAGAUGGCCAAGGACAAGGUCAGUGUGACCUGCCUGAUCAAGGACUUCUUCCCGCCGGACAUCAGCGUGGAGUGGCAGAGCAGCGGGCGGCCGGAGCCCGAGACCAAGUACUCCUCGACCCCGCCCCAGAAGGACCAGGAGGGCGCCUUCUUCCUGUACAGCAAGCUCUCCGUGGACAAGGCCCGGUGGCAGCGGGGGGACCCCUUCACGUGCGAGGUGAUGCACGAGGCCCUGCACAACCACUACACCCAGAAGACCGUCUCCCGGAGCCCGGAGCUGCUCCUGGACGAGAGCUGUGCCGAGGCCCAGGACGGGGAGCUGGACGGGCUGUGGACCACCAUCUCCAUCUUCAUCACCCUCUUCCUGCUCAGCGUGUGCUACAGCGCCACCGUCACGCUCUUCAAGGUGAAGUGGAUCUUCUCCUCGGUGGCCGACCUGAAGAGGACCAUCGUCCCCGACUACAGGAACAUGAUCGGACAAGGGGCUUAG